CUUCAGUCGACGCUGGAUUGUUGAGUGACACAGUCAGUACAUCCCCAGCUGUGAGGAACCUGGGAAGGAGUGUGUUGCGGGAGCAGAGCACAGUUGUAAAUAUUGAGUGUUGGGAUUUCACCUCUCACCAUGGACCACAAGCACAGUGUCAUAGUCCGGUAAUCCUCUGGAUGUCAGUGCUUCCAGCUGCUACACCUGCUGCUUAAUCCGCUGGUCAACUCGCAGAUCCUCCACAGCUCUUUACCUGCCCAGUAGAGAUCCUUCAUGGAUUCACCUGUUCUCACACCCGGGCCACUUACCCCCCUCCACGCUUCGUGUUCACCUGCAUUAAAUGACUGUAAGGUUUCUUUUUUCCUUGACUUGAUCUCACGGUUCCUGCUCCAGAUGUUACCCGGUGUCGGGUUCCCCCCUUCGGUCCGCGACAACCCCAAGAGACUCUCACGGACCCCACUCCCCUGUUUAGUGAUAAACAGUGAUAGACCAGUGUCUCGUUUUUUUUUUUUGUUUUUUUUUUUUAAGUUUAGGUUGCUCAGCCCGUUAGAGUCUGUUUCACAGUGUGUCAUUAAAGCGUUUGAAUGUUGCCCUUAGAUUAAUAGUGUAGUUUUGUUCACAGUACCUUCAUAGAAAUAGCGUAUCUUCAUAGUAUUGCGGCUAAGAGCCCGCUCACAGUAUUUCUCCUUUUAAGAAGUUAAGUUGCACUUCCAGCGUACAACUUUAAUCCCGCCUUCUGUAAUGUGUUAAGUUACUUUAACUUAGUAUCCUGUCUCGCCUUCUCUUAGUUUAUAGUGGAUGUGUUAUGUGUGUUUUGUAUCCUUGUGCAUUUAGUCUUAUCUUUCG